UACGAAGGGGGCUAGCGUUGUUCGGAAUUACUGGGCGUAAAGCGCGCGCAGGUGGUCUUUCAAGUCAGUGGUGAAAGCCCGGAGCUCAACUCCGGAAAUGCCAUUGAAACUGUAAGACUUGAGGAUGAGAGAGGUGAGUGGAAUUCCCAGUGUAGAGGUGAAAUGCGUAGAUAUUCGGAAGAACACCAGUGGCGAAGGCGGCUCACUGGACUGGUAUUGACGCUGAGGUGCGAAAGCGUGGGGAGCAAACAGG
rnacentral:rRNA from 1 species